UUAAGCCUACAUCCUUUAUUAUAAAAUCAACAUGAUAUGAGAGAUUGUUGUACAAUGAUUGUAUAUUCUAAUUUAAAUUUUCAUCUUUCAUCAUCAAAUUAUAGAAUAUAGGCUACAGGGGAGUGAUGUGUAAAUUGAUAAAUGAUUUCAAACAAAAUAAACUCUUUUUUUUAGGAAAAUCACAAGUAUAAAUUAUUCUCAUUUUAUCCUUUAAAAUUGUUUGCAAAGUUCCAGUGUGUUGUCUGAAAAUUUGAAUUAAGUACUUUAUAUACACAAUAAUCAUAUGACCCAGCAAUAAAUGAUUUGGUAUAAAAUUCUAUGAAUGAUUCACUCACAAUUAAAUAUCUAAUUCAAUUUAAUUCGGUCAACUUGAUUCAAGUUGAAAAGUAACCGUGAUUCUUAUCAAAAGUAAAAUAAAAAUUCAUCAUAAAAUCGAAUCAUCUAUAUCAUAAAACAAUAAACAACUUAUUUCUGCAAUAGGAACAAAAAAUUACCAAAUUAUUAUUUUUUUAAGUGUCUACAGCACUAUUUAAUUUACAUGUAUCAACAAUUUGAAUAUCAGAUAAAAGGAUUCACUGCAAAAAAUCAAAUACAGGAUGUAUUAUAAGUGAUUUUACAUAUUUGUACUUGGUAUAUAUGUGUGUACUAUUCUGGUUAUAUCAUUUAAUAAUAUAACUAAAAUGAGAAAAACAAAAAAGAAACAAAAUCUAAAAGUAACAACAAAAAUAUACAACUUUAAAUAACAACUAAAACAAAAUUAAAAAUAAGAUAUACAAAUGUCUCUAUAAUUGGUUAAAUAAUCUUAGGCCACUUUUAAAAAUGGUUGUGUUUCUAAAACCAUAGAAAUUUUCUUCAUAAAAGAAAGGAACUGACAAGUUUUCAGUAAUACAUAGACUCAAACUAGACACAGAAAUUAUUUCGGCAGUGUCUAGAGCUAUCAUAUUUCUGCUGCAGCUAUUUGUUUUUACAUACAGAAAAUCAACAUUUGAGAAAUUGAUUUUCCUAAAGUAAGUUGAUGCUUGAAUCUAUAAGUAUACCAAUAUGGUGAGAUGGGAGGUUGAAAUUGCUAACAGGGUUAGUUCAACUUAAGGUGAUACCCAACACCUUGACUAAAUUAAUUUGGCUUGUUUAAUUUUCACAAAAUAUUUUCUUUGACCCUUUGAAAAAAAUAUUAAAAUUUCAAAAAACUUGAACCAAUCACUUCCUCGGAAAAAAAUGGUUGGAUAUAUAGCAGUUUGACACUAAUUUUGAUCAUUGAGAAGCUAAAUAUUUCGUUAACAAUACAACGUGAUUAAAAUGUUUAGCUGAUUUUACAGAGUUUUUUCCCUGAAGUGUUAGGUACCACCUUCAAAGACAGAAAAAAAAUAAAAAUAAAGUAUAUAUUCUUACAAAUGUCAAUUCAGCUUCUCAGGAAAGAUUAUAAUUUGUUUUUAAUUUUACAACAUGGUUUAAAAUUAAUAUAUUACAUAUUAAUAGUAAUAAAGCAAUAAUAAGCUGCAAUUGUUUCAUAUUAUGGCUCUAAAUUGGCAGCUGUAUUCUAAUAGAGUUCUAAACAAACCAAUGAAAGUUAAAGUAAUGAUUACAACUUUAUUCAAUAAUGAUAUAACAAAUUUAUAAUGAGAAAUGUACAUUGUACAUAUAUUAAUUAUGAAUGCACAUAUAGAAAGGUCUAUGUAUGAAUUCCCAUACGAUUUAGAGUAGUUAAAUUUCUGCUAGGAGCUUAUUUUAUAAAUUAAAUAGUUGUGUAUUCAAAACUCAUCAUAAUAUAUAUGUGUGUAGCACAUGCUCAGUACCUUUUUGUCAUUAGGAUACAGAAGAAUCCCUUAUUUGGACUAGAGACAAUUAGAGUGAUUUAGAACCUUCUCAAAACUUUUCCCAGUAUGCUAGGUAGCUCUCAGUUUGAGUUUUGCAGCUCACAGGGAAAGCCAUACAUAACUUUAUGAUAAUAAAAAAACAAAUUACCAAAACAGUCUACUGUAUGAUUAGUCAGGAACAGAAUUAAUAAGUAAUUUGUAAUACUUAAAUGAGGUCAAGGGUUUCUGGCAUGUAUCUGAUAACUAAAUAGCCACAGACAUCUUCCAAUAAAUUAAAGUCUGUCUUAUGAUUGUUUAUGUGAUAGAUUACACUGUCAUUAGAAGAAGUAUCUAUGUCUGUCCUCUAACAAGAAUUGAAACAUUUCAUAAAUGGUAGUACUCAUGGGAAGAUUGUUUCAUUAGGGCAAAUAUUUAGAAACCAGGGGCAGAUCCAGGAUUUUCGGUUAGGGGGGCGCAAACUUAAUUUUCUGACGAGCAGAGCGAGGCGAAAUUUUUUUUGAGGUAUUAUUAUCGAAAUUAUUGAAAUAUUCUUCUAGAGAGGGUGUAAUGUAGAUAUCUUACCAAGCGUGGCGAGAAAUAAAUAUUUUGUGGUAAAAUUAGCGAGAAAUUUAAGUUUCCAGCUAAACCCGCACAAAUUCACCCCUUGCAAUCUGCAAUCACCAUAAUUAACAAGAAAUCUGUGAGCUUCUAUUCAUUGACUCAAUAAUAGCUCACCGACCAAUAUAAGAUUUUGAAAACAAGAAUUUCUUCUUUUGCCAUGCAGCAAUUUUAAUUGUCUUUUCUUAAUUUUUCUUUUCUUCUAUUUCCGGAGGUCGUGUCAAACUUUUUAUAUACAUUUCUACCGCAAACCAGUAAAAUCAGAAUGAGGUCCUUGCGAAGAUAUAUUUAUUUUCGUGGGAUCCUAUGUAAUACGGUAGUACGGGUUGGGGCCUUUACCAUGUAUGUAUGCUUCGGCAAACUUUACAGGUUGAAAGUGACAAACAUAUAUAGAUAUCAUACAGAGAUAUUAAACAAUGAUACAAAUUAAUAAACGGACCUUUAGCUUGAACCAGUAUUCCUAUCUUUCAUUAAGAGAGAAUUUAAACAGGACUGUUUUCUUGGCCGUGCCAUAAUGAAAUAACCUACCCAACCGCGGGUUUAUAGAACUUAUAAAUAAACCGUAGGUCAGUUUAUUAGUUAUCACGUUGAUUUUGUUAAACUUACUGUUUUAUACACUUCUUUGAAUGUUAAAACAGAUGCAAUGCGACGAGAUUGAUAUUCGUCGUCUGUUCAGAUACUUUGUUGAGCUGAGGACAACCCAUGCUUUGCAAAUUUUAGGGGGGGCGCACGCCCGCCAUGCCCCUGCCUAAAUCUGCCCCUGGAAACUGAUAUUUAAUAUCUUUUAUCAUUACGCAUAAUAUUUAAUUUGUUUAUAGCAUUACCGGUAUAACAUUAUCUAUUUGUAUUUUCAUCCCGUAGAAAAGUUUACAUGUUCUAGUUCUAUUUUUAAAAUUUGUCAUUUAUGACAGAAAAAUUAUACAAAUUUUCCUAACACAUUUCAUCCAACAUGUAAAUAGAAAAUUAUGGCAUUUGCUAUACAAACUAAAUUGUAAAUAGAUGAUAAUGUUUCUAAAAACGUCUCUCAUUUAAAAGAAAAGUUUUGAGAUCUUUGAAAAUAUCAUAAAAUUAUACAAGAGUGUAAAAAUAGAAUUUAACAAUGGAAUGGACAAGUACAGGUUAUAUGCAGUCUGGAAUAACAUAUCAAUGAGAUAGUCAUACACAAUAAAAAAAAUAAUGGUUCUCUUCCACAGACUUGUGAUAUUUAUUGAAAAAUGAAACUUUUACCUUUUUUUUGGUCUAAUAAUUGACAAUAAAAAAUAUCAAAAUCCAUUAUAUGUGACGAGUCAAUCUCUUGUACAAAUGAAAAAAGUGGUAUACAUGUAUAUACGAUUGCCAAUGAGACAACUGUACACAAAAAAAUCAAAUGACACAGAAAUAAACAACUUUAGGUCACCAUAUUGCCUUCAACAAUGAGCAAAGCCCAUACCAAAAUUUACAUGAAAAUGUGACCUGUUACACUUCAUCAUUUACAUUGUAGCUGUAGCUUCUUAAUUAUGCUUUUGCUGGUAAAUGCAUGUGAUUGUUUUUUUAACAUAUACAUGUACGCUGAAUAUACAAAUAAUAUUGAAUUUUCAUUUAUUUAAUAAUAAAUAUAAAAAAAAAGAUGUCAUAAAGUCUUAAUAUCUUAAAUUGAUGUACACAAAGAUUCAGGAACUAAAAUUAAGCUGUAAGGAAAGUUGGGGAUGCAUACAAAAAAUGAUAGUUAAAGCUUGGUACAUGCAUUGAGAGGAGGCAAUUAUGUUUGUAGAAAUCAAAGUUUGUUUUAUCAGACACACAAUUUAAAAAUAAAUUAAAACAAACAACUUAAUAGUCGCCGCUUCUCCUAACUACAAUAUUUAAUAUAUCUAAUAUUCUUAUUAAUAUAAAUGCAAAUCACAUUUUAUAUAUAUAAAAUUCUAGCUAUAUCUCAAUCUUAAAUAUCUUAAAUACAUUUACUUCAAAGUUUUGAUACUUAAAAUUUCAAAGAUCAUAGAUAUUUAAAAAAA
rnacentral:lncRNA from 1 species